CUGGAUUCUGGAACGAAAUGAAUGAAGAAGAACUAUUUAGGCUUUCAGAAUAAACAAAACAUGUUAGCGAAGAUUGACUAUGCCAAAAUGAAGCACGAAUCCAGCGUGUGGAAAACUCUCGCCGAAACUAAAGGAACUUUGAAGGAACAGUUAUCCCAUGCCUGAUUUCACGAAUUCGACUGACGAAGUUGAAAUAGAACUGAAGCAUACGGUAUGAAGCAUGGGAGAGGUCAGCAUCUCACCGCCCUCCAGUGAUUGGGACCAAUGGAUGGGGCUCACUGAUGACCCACAAAUUGUUGUAGACUCUCCUAAACUCUCCAGACGCUGAAGCCUUCUUUGCGGGGAAGAACAUUAGCAGGGAGUCGUCUCCAUUCACGAGGAGCAAUACCCUUUGGUGGCCUGCAAUACCCUUUUCGAAUCUAUUGCUAGUGACAGAGAGAUCAAAAUAGCGAAACACAGGACAGAUACAAUGAGUGCCUCAAGACGGAAGCGCUAGCAGACAAGGAAAG